rnacentral:rRNA from 1 species
GAUGAACGCUGGCGGCGUGCCUAAUACAUGCAAGUCGAACGCACUAGCAAUAGUGAGUGGCGAACGGGUGAGUAACACGUGGGUAACUUACCUCAAAGACGAGGAUAACGACUGGAAACGGUCGCUAAAACUGGAUAGGAUUACUGGAGGCAUCUCUGGUAAUUUAAAGGGGCUUCACAGCUCUACUUUGAGAAAGGCCUGCGGCGCAUUAGCUAGUUGGUGGUGUAGAGGACUACCAAGGCGAUGAUGCGUAGCCGGACUGAGAGGUCGAACGGCCACAUUGGGACUGAGACACGGCCCAAACUCCUACGGGAGGCAGCAGUAGGGAAUUUUCGG